rnacentral:rRNA from 1 species
UACGGGGGGAGCAAGCGUUGUUCGGAUUUACUGGGCGUAAAGGGCGCGUAGGCGGUCAGCACAAGUCAGUUGUGAAAUCUCCGAGCUUAACUCGGAAAGGUCAACUGAUACUGUGCGACUAGAGUGCAGAAGGGGCAACUGGAAUUCCCGGUGUAGCGGUGAAAUGCGCAGAGAUCGGGAGGAACACCCGUAGCGAAGGCGGCACUCUGGGCCGGUACUGACGCUGAGGAGCGAAAGCGUGGGGAGCAAACAGG